rnacentral:tRNA from 1 species
GGGGGUAUUGCUCAGUGGUAGAGCGUGUGUUUAGCAUGUGCAGGGUCCUGGGUUCAUCUCAGUACCUCCA